rnacentral:rRNA from 1 species
UACGAAGGGUGCAAGCGUUACUCGGAAUUACUGGGCGUAAAGCGUGUGCAGGUGGUUCGUUAAGUCUGCUGUGAAAGCCCCGGGCUCAACCUGGGAAUGGCAGUGGAUACUGGCGAGCUGGAGUGCGGUAGAGGGUAGUGGAAUUCCCGGUGUAGCGGUGAAAUGCGUAGAUAUCGGAAGGAACAUCAGUGGCGAAAGCGACUUCCUGGACCAAUACUGACGCUCAUGUGCGAAAGCGUGGGGAGCAAACAGG